rnacentral:rRNA from 1 species
ACUGCUCAGUAACACGUGGACAACCUACCCUCAGCAUGGGGAUAAACCCGGGAAACUGGGUAUAAUACCCGAUAGUUCUGGGAUGCUGGAAUGCUUCCAGGACGAAAGCUCCGGCGACUGAGGAUGGGUCUGCGGCCUAUCAGGUAGUAGUGGGUGUAAUGUACCUACUAGCCUACGACGGGUACGGGUCGUGAGAGCGAGAGCCCGGAGAUGGAUUCUGAGACACGAAUCCAGGCCCUACGGGGUGCAGCAGGCGCGAAAACUUUACAAUGCUGGCAACAGCGAUAAGGGGACCUCGAGUGCCAGGAUACAAUCUUGGCUGUCGUAAUGCCUAAAAAGCAUUGCAUAGCAAGGGCCGGGCAAGACCGGUGCCAGCCGCCGCGGUAACACCGGCGGCUCGAGUGGUAACCGCUAUUAUUGGGUCUAAAGGGUCUGUAGCCGGCCGGAUAAGUCUUUUGGGAAAUCCAGCUGCUCAACAGUUGGGCUUUCAGAAGAUACUGUUCGGCUCGAGGCCGGGAGAGGUGAGAGGUACUUCAGGGGUAGGGGUGAAAUCUUGUAAUCCUUGAAGGACCACCAGUGGCGAAGGCGUCUCACCAGAACGGUCCUGACGGCAAGGGACGAAAGCUAGGGGCACGAACCGGAUUAGAUACCCGGGUAGUCCUAGCCGUAAACGAUACUCGCUAGGUGUCAGCCACGGUGCGACCGUGGUUGGUGCCGUAGGGAAGCCGUGAAGCGAGCCACCUGGGAAGUACGGCCGCAAGGCUGAAACUUAAAGGAAUUGGCGGGGAGCAC